CAAUGGGUAAUUAUGAAUGUUUCAUCAAUUUUUCUCAAAUGCUGCAAAAGUCAAUACAUAAUGUUUUAUAUAUUGGUUUGAAAUUGACAUGUUGCAGAUCAUAUUUCAUCUUGCUGCAUCUAGCAUAUCGAUAUGUCAUGACCCUUUUUCCUGAGAAACCCUUGGGCGUUUUAAUCUAGCUCGAUUUUGUGAAGGAUAUGUGACAUGUUCAUGUGCCUAGGGAGGUGAUGCCUAAUCUUUAGCCAGUAAUGGAAAACUCGCAGUAUGUUUCAUGGCACAUGGUAUAAUGUUUCAAUGGGACACAAAGCAUUUAGAUAGGUUGCAGUGGGAUUUUUCUUUUGUGCUCAGAGCUUUGUUUUUUUGAAUGUUGCAUGUAACAUAAGGCACAUGUUGCAGCGGGACUUUCUCCUAUAUGCUCCACCAUCCGACGCUAGGUCCGGGCGCUAGCAACUCAUUCUUUCAAUGGUAGACAAUGUGCUCAUCGAUAGCAAGACGUUAGUGAUGACUUCAUCAACCUCGAGUAUAUGCUGGCUUAGUUUCUCAGAGAUUCUCAUUGGGUAAGGUUAUGUGCGUCCGUUUAUUUGAGCAUCUACUGUAUUUCGAAAAAAAAUAUCUAUCUCCAGAACCCGGACUUCACCGUAACCUUUUUUUUCAUCCUGAAUUAUUGAUCAUUUAUGCAUAGCAAGGCCCAUCCUUUCCCCG
rnacentral:lncRNA from 1 species